CUUUUAUCUAUUUGACUAAUUAUUGUUGUUAUUCUGUAUAAAACCUGCAAUUCCAUCAGGCACUCUGUUAGACGCCUAUUUAGCGCCACCAUUCAAAUAAGUCCGCCGGUGGAAAACGCGGAUGGACCCAGAGAUUCUCUGAUUGGCCGACAAGCCGUUCGCGACCCUGAUUGGAUAACGUUGUCCAGAGGAACUGGAACGUUUCCAUAGGAACGAAGACGCGGAAGCACACAGUAAGGAACAGGAAUCUUUGUCAAAUCCCACAAAUGCAUUUGAGUUUACCCGAGACUGGCGCCGAUUAGGAAACGGAGAGAAGUAUGAGUACCUCUUGCAAGUGGGAGCUGAGAAGCUGUCUCAACUUUUUCAAGGGUGUUCUGGACUACUUGGGGAAUUCCUCUCAGUGCUCAGUGAGAACUUUCAGGCCAAUCACCUGGAGAAGGUCCUACAGAUCUUACAAACCCCAGCAGAGACCAAGCGUUUCGACCUUAAUCUGGUUUUUCUCAGCAGGUCUGAGAAGGAGAGUUCCCAAAAGCUGUAAAGUUGCACACUUGUGUUGGUGCAAUGGGAGAUGAAAGAAGGGGGUUAGAAGAUGAAAGGCCAACAAAACUAAUGGUCUGUUACAAGAUUGGCAGCACAAAGGACUGACUACUGGUUUUCUUCUACCAGACCACAGAAUGCUAUGAUUAUGUAGACAGCAGAGGGCUGCUAUGAAGCUACAUGACAUGCUUGAAACAGCUGCAAUCCUGAUCACAGAAUGUUCUACAGCUGUCAAGCUCCCCGAUUCAUUCAUUUUCUAUAACGGCACAAUUUGGGUCACAGUCUAAUAAAUCCACACUCUCAGCUCACCCCAGUCUCUAGCUGAGUAUGUUUCUCAGUGUCCACUUAUUGAGUGGAGAGGGAUGGGAGCUAAGCGAGAGUUUUUUGGGGUAACCUGCCAGAGUGCAAAUAAAGCCCCAUGCUAUGUCUGCUUCACUUCAGGGCAACUGUAUUUUACUUCCUGAAUCAAUUUCACUAUCCCAUUAAGCUUGUCUGCAAAUGCUUUUUUAAAUUAAAAAUAAUUGAAGAGAACA